rnacentral:rRNA from 2 species
UUAACCUUCGGGAGGGCGUUUACCACGGUGUGAUUCAUGACUGGGGUGAAGUCGUAACAAGGUAACCCUAGGGGAACCUGGGGUUGGAUCACCUCCUUACCUUAA